AUCGUCGAUUCGUUCGUAUUCCAAUCACGAUCAGCCGCAAGCGAGCCCUUCACGUGAAAAAAGGAGCCAACAACGCGCGCCCUUCCUAUUCAAUCGGCAAUCACGCAGGCGCAGCUAUUCUAGCCCUAGCCGCCGAGGCCGGAUGUUCAUACUGGUACUGACGCCUCAUCCCUCCCGACUCCUGAGGCCCUCAUCUGUAAUUCCAUAAAGCACACGAACAAGGAAGACGGCCAUGGAUAAAUUGGUACAAUCAGGACAUAUUCAUCGGGUAGGGAUAAAAGGACAAGGAAGACGGCCAUGGAUAAAUUGGUACAAUCACAACACCCAGAUACGCACAAAUUUCUCGAGAGUAAUAAUGGUGCUUCCACUGCUUCGAUAAACAAAGAUGAUGAUUGGCAAUGGUUCCCAUAGAGGAAGAGCAACAACCAAUUGGGAAUUCAGAAUAUGAUCAGCGAGUAGAAAAUGUUGACACCAGCAUCGGCGAUGACAAUGUAAGUGGCUACGAGAUUAUGAGAUUAUUGAACUUCUUUUUGAACUAAAGAGUAUGAGUCACUUUGCCAUACGGUGUAAUGUCUGCCAUGGAGAUUUUCGAACAUGUUAGAGAAGUUGAUAGCUAUCCUAAUAUCUCCAUUGUUUCUCACAUUUUAUUUGAUAUGCCUAUGAUGGUCGCAUCAGUCAAAAGAAGC